rnacentral:rRNA from 1 species
GGCCUAAUAAUGCAAGUCGACGCACAGCGAAAGGUGCUUGCACCUUUCAAGUGAGUGGCGAACGGGUGAGUAACACGUGGACAACCUGCCUCAAGGCUGGGGAUAACAUUUGGAAACAGAUGCUAAUACCGAAUAAAACUUAGUGUCGCAUGACACAAAGUUAAAAGGCGCUUCGGCGUCACCUAGAGAUGGAUCCGCGGUGCAUUAGUUAGUUGGUGGGGUAAAGGCCUACCAAGACAAUGAUGCAUAGCCGAGUUGAGAGACUGAUCGGCCACAUUGGGACUGAGACACGGCCCAAACUCCUACGGGAGGCUGCAGUAGGGAAUCUUCCACAAUGGGCGAAAGCCUGAUGGAGCAACGCCGCGUGUGUGAUGAAGGCUUUCGGGUCGUAAAGCACUGUUGUAUGGGAAGAACAGCUAGAAUAGGAAAUGAUUUUAGUUUGACGGUACCAUACCAGAAAGGGACGGCUAAAUACGUGCCAGCAGCCGCGGUAAUACGUAUGUCCCGAGCGUUAUCCGGAUUUAUUGGGCGUAAAGCGAGCGCAGACGGUUUAUUAAGUCUGAUGUGAAAGCCCGGAGCUCAACUCCGGAAUGGCAUUGGAAACUGGUUAACUUGAGUGCAGUAGAGGUAAGUGGAACUCCAUGUGUAGCGGUGGAAUGCGUAGAUAUAUGGAAGAACACCAGUGGCGAAGGCGGCUUACUGGACUGCAACUGACGUUGAGGCUCGAAAGUGUGGGUAGCAAACAGGAUUAGAUACCCUGGUAGUCCACACCGUAAACGAUGAACACUAGGUGUUAGGAGGUUUCCGCCUCUUAGUGCCGAAGCUAACGCAUUAAGUGUUCCGCCUGGGGAGUACGACCGCAAGGUUGAAACUCAAAGGAAUUGACGGGGACCCGCACAAGCGGUGGAGCAUGUGGUUUAAUUCGAAGCAACGCGAAGAACCUUACCAGGUCUUGACAUCCUUUGAAGCUUUUAGAGAUAGAAGUGUUCUCUUCGGAGACAAAGUGACAGGUGGUGCAUGGUCGUCGUCAGCUCGUGUCGUGAGAUGUUGGGUUAAGUCCCGCAACGAACCCCAACCCUUAUUGUUAGUUGCCAGCAUUCAGAUGGGCACUCUAGCGAAACUGCCGGUGACAAACCGGAGGAAGGCGGGGACGACGUCAAAUCAUCAUGCCCCUUAUGACCUGGGCUACCACCGGGCUAAAAUGGGCGUAAUAACACAAAUUGCCAACCCCCCGAGAGGGGAAGCUAAUCCCUU